rnacentral:misc_RNA from 1 species
GAUGAAGAACGUAGCGAAAUGCGAUAAGUAAUGUGAAUUGCAGAAUUCAGUGAAUCAUCGAAUCUUUGAACGCACAUUGCGCCCCUUGGUAUCCCGAGGGGCAUGCCUGUUCGAGCAUCAUUUCACCACUCAAGCCUGGCUUGGUGUUGGGCGACGUCCUCUUUGGGGACGCGCCUCGAAACGCUCGGCGGCGUGGCACCGGCUUUAAGCGUAGCAGAAUCUUUCGCUUUGGAAGUCGGGGCCCCGUCUGCCGGAAGACCUGCUCGCAAGGUUGACCUCGGAUCAGGCAGGGAUACCCGCUGAACUUAAGCAUAUCAAUAAGCGGAGGA